UACCAGCACCCCGAGUGGUCGGAGCGAUUAUUGGGCCUAAAGCAUCCGUAGCCGGUUCUACAAGUCUUCCGUUAAAUCCACCUGCUUAACAGAUGGGCUGCGGAGGAUACUAUGGAGCUAGGAGGCGGGAGAGGCAAGCGGUACUUAGUGGGUAGGGGUAAAAUCCGUUGAUCCAUUGAAGACCACCAGUGGCGAAGGCGGCUUGCCAGAACGCACUCGACGGUGAGGGAUGAAAGCUGGGGGAGCAAACCGG
rnacentral:rRNA from 1 species